UGGCUGUAGCUACAUGAAUUCAAUUUGAGAGGUUAACUGGGCGGUUGUCGUUCUGUUGUCUACAUAUAUCUGCUUACCGAACUUCUUACAUUU
rfam:Nicotiana attenuata strain TT chromosome 2, whole genome shotgun sequence.